rnacentral:rRNA from 1 species
UACGGGGGGAGCAAGCGUUGUCCGGAAUUACUGGGCGUAAAGAGCUCGUAGGUGGUUUGUCGCGUUGUCCGUGAAAACUCACAACUCAAUUGUGGGCGUGCGGGCGAUACGGGCAGACUGGAGUACUGCAGGGGAGACUGGAAUUCCUGGUGUAGCGGUGGAAUGCGCAGAUAUCAGGAAGAACACCCGUGGCGAAGGCGGCUCUCUGGGACGGUACUGACGCUGAGGAGCGAAAGCAUGGGGAGCGAACAGG